ensembl:lncRNA SGO1-AS1 SGO1 antisense RNA 1
CUUACUGGUAGGAGUUUUUGUUGGCUUAGAACCCUCCGUCUCUUUUUCAUCUGUGUAUUUCAGUGCUCUUUUAGCUAGAGGCCUGGUGACUGGUCUAUCUGAAUUGCUCGUGGGAUUCUGAAUGUACUUGCAAGUGGGCAAAUAGAGGUCAUCGGAAUCAUCUCCUGAACCACUUGAUUCACAGAGGCUCACUUCAGACUCGUUGUUUUCUUCUCUAUUAGAGUCAUUGCUCACUUUUUGUCGGAAAGGAGUAAGAUGAACACCCUCUUCCAAAUUAAAAUUUAAACGUUCCUGGCUGAAUCAGCUUUGGUGAUAAGUUAACUUGGUCCUUGCUCCAUUGACAAGCAUUGUGUUGUACAUUUUCAGGGACUCCAGGAAGGCCGGGGGGAGGUGGGGCUGGCGGAAGUGGACGCGGCGACCCUCCUGCCGCAGGCGCGUCCAGAACGAUACCUUGGCCACUACUUCUGCAACAGCUAUCUUCCUCCUCCUCACAUUUCAAGGCUCUUCGAAGCUCUCCAGCCACGGCUAGCCCCGCGCACUGGGCCCUCCAGGACCGUACCACCGUCCGCCGUCGCCUGGAACUACCGCCGCCACAUUCGAAAUUUUCCGCCUCGCUCCUCCAUUGGUUGGCUGGGAGGCGGUCACGUGGCGCAGGAUGCACCCAACACCACCGUCGCAGGCAGAGUCCCGCCCCGCCAGGCGACGUCACGUGACGCACAUUCGCUCAAGUCCACAUCCGGGCAUCCACCUGGCCCUGGGGCGGAGCCUGCGGUCGGGUCUCGGCGACCCGCCGGGACUUUCUAAUCAGAGUCGUGGGGA